rnacentral:rRNA from 1 species
UUCGAUGCAACGCGAAAAACCUUACCUACCCUUGACAUGUCUGGAAUCCUGAAGAGAUUUGGGAGUGCUCGAAAGAGAGCCAGAACACAGGUGCUGCAUGGCCGUCGUCAGCUCGUGUCGUGAGAUGUUGGGUUAAGUCCCGCAACGAGCGCAACCCUUGUCAUUAGUUGCUACGAAAGGGCACUCUAAUGAGACUGCCGGUGACAAACCGGAGGAAGGUGGGGAUGACGUCAGGUCAUCAUGGCCCUUAUGGGUAGGGCUACACACGUCAUACAAUGGCCGGGACAGAGGGCUGCCAACCCGCGAGGGGGAGCUAAUCCCAGAAACCCGGUCGUAGUCCGGAUCGUAGUCUGCAACUCGACUGCGUGAAGUCGGAAUCGCUAGUAACCGCGGAUCAGCUUGCCGCGGUGAAUACGUUCCCGGGUCUUGUACACACCGCCCGUCACACCAUGGGAGCGGGUUCUGCCAGAAGUAGUUAGCCUAACCGCAAGGGGGGCGA